rnacentral:lncRNA from 10 species
GUGGCGAGGGCGGUGCCUGGGGGCAGGGGCCUCCUCGGAGGGCGGCGGGGACAGACCCGUCGCCCCGGCUCCGCAGCCCCGCCCCGGCCCCGCCUCCGCUCCGGCCGCCGAAGGCUAUAAGAUCUAGGAACCCGAGCCGGUGGUAGGGCGGGCGCGGACCGUGCUGGGAGCGGCGCGGCUGGAGCGCAGCGCCGAAGGGACUGGCAGGGCUGAAGUGUGCGGGACAGCAAGCCCCCGAAUAGCCCCGGCUGCCACCUCGCAGGACCCAAGGCCACGCGCGCCGGGCCCAGCUGAGCCGCCUCAUGAAGCCGCCCGCGGCGCAGGGCAGCCCCGCGGCCGCCGCGGCCGCAGGUAUGUGAAACAAGAAGUUCUGGGUCCUUUCAUCAUAAGGGAGAAGCUUCAGAAAGUUCCGAGGACCUGCUAAAAUCAGCUACUAGAAUCUGCUGCCAGAGGGGACAAAGACGUGCACUCAACCUUCUACCAGGCCACUCUCAGGCUCACCUUAAAAUCAGCCCUUGAUCCCAUUUCUGGGCAAUUUAGACAGUGAAACUGACUUUGUUUACCUGCUUGCAGCAUAUUAGAACAGACGAUCCAUGCUAAUAUUGUAUUUUCUCUUAAAACAUAGCUUUCCUGUAAUUUAAAGUGCUUUUAUGAAAAUAUUUGUAAUUAAUUAUAUAUAGUUGGAAAUAGCAGUAAGCUUUCCCAUUAUAAUAUAUUUUUGUAUACAAAUAAAAUUUGAACUGAAGUCUGC